rnacentral:rRNA from 1 species
GAUGAACGCUGGCGGCGUGCCUAAUACAUGCAUGUCGAGCGAACAGACGAGGAGCUUGCUCCUCUGACGUUAGCGGCGGACGGGUGAGUAACACGUGGAUAACCUACCUAUAAGACUGGGAUAACUUCGGGAAACCGGAGCUAAUACCGGAUAAUAUAUUUAACCGCAUGGUUCAAUAGUGAAAGACGGUUUUGCUGUCACUUAUAGAUGGAUCCGCGCCGCAUUAGCUAGUUGGUAAGGUAACGGCUUACCAAGGCAACGAUGCGUAGCCGACCUGAGAGGGGGAUCGGCCACACUGGAACUGAGACGCGGUCCAGACUCCUACGGGAGGCAGCAGUAGGGAAUCGUCCGCAAUGGGCGAAAGCCUGACGGAGCAACGCCGCGUGGGUGAUGAAGGUCUUCGGAUCGGAAAACUCUGUUAUUAGGGAAGAACAAAUGUGUAAGUAACGAUGCACGUCUUGACGGUACCUAAUCAGAAAGCCACGGCUAACUACGUG